rnacentral:rRNA from 1 species
UACGGGGGGGGUAAGCGUUGUUCGGAAUUACUGGGCGUAAAGAGCUUGUAGGCGGUUUGUCGCGUCUGCUGUGAAAAUCCGGGGCUCGACUCCGGACUUGCAGUGGGUACGGGCAGGCUAGAGUGUGGUAGGGGAGACUGGAAUUCCUGGUGUAGCGGUGGAAUGCGCAGAUAUCAGGAGGAACACCGAUGGCGAAGGCAGGUCUCUGGGCCACUACUGACGCUGAGAAGCGAAAGCAUGGGGAGCGAACAGG